UGCAUGCAGUCGAACGAGAACGGCGGCUUCGGUCGCUAAGUAAAGUGGCAGACGGCUGAGUAACACGUAAGUAACCAACCCCGGAGCGGGAAUAAUCAUGAGAAAUCGUGCCUAAUACCCCGUACGUCCCAACAGGCGUUGCCGUUGGGGGAAAGGCUUCGGUCGCUCUGGGACGGGCUUGCGGCCUAUCAGGUAGUUGGUGGGGUAAAGGCCCACCAAGCCGUAGACGGGUACCCGGUGUGAGAGCACGAACGGGCAGAGGGGGACUGAGACACGGCCCCCACUCCUACGGGAGGCAGCAGCAGGGAAUCUUGCGCAAUGGGCGAAAGCCUGACGCAGCGACACCGCGUGGAGGAAGAAGGCUUUCGGGUCGUAAACUCCUUUUCUCGGGGAAGAGAACGGACGGUACCCGAGGAAUAAGCAUCGGCUAACUACGUGCCAGCAGCCGCGGUAAUACGUAGGAUGCGAGCGUUGUCCGGAUUUACUGGGCGUAAAGGGCGAGUAGGCGGCCCGCUAAGUCUCAUGUGAAAUCUCCCGGCUCAACUGGGAGGGGUCAUGAGUAACUGGCAGGCUUGAGGUCAGCAGAGGAAAGCGGAAUUCCCGGAGUAGCGGUGAUAUGCGUAGAUACCGGGAGGAACACCAGAGGCGAAGGCGGCUUUCUGGGCUGCACCUGACGCUGAGGCGCGAAAGCAUGGGGAGCGAACCGGAUUAGAUACCCGGGUAGUCCACGCCCUAAAUGGUGGAUACUAGACAUGGGGGGGUAUCGACCCCCUCUGUGUCGUAGUUAACGCGUUAAGUAUCCCGCCUGGGGAGUACGG
rnacentral:rRNA from 1 species